rnacentral:rRNA from 1 species
GAAAGGAGGUGAUCCAGCCGCAGGUUCUCCUACGGCUACCUUGUUACGACUUCACCCUAAUCAUCUGUCCCACCUUAGGCGGCUGGUUCCUAAAAGGUUACCCCACCGACUUUGGGUGUUACAAACUCUCAUGGUGUGACGGGCGGUGUGUACAAGGCCCGGGAACGUAUUCACCGCGGCAUGCUGAUUCCGCGAUUACUAGCGAUUCCGACUUCAUGUAGGCGAGUUGCAGCCUACAAUCCGAACUGAGAAUGGCUUUAAGAGAUUAGCUUACUCUCGCGAGUUCGCAACUCGUUGUACCAUCCAUUGUAGCACGUGUGUAGCCCAGGUCAUAAGGGGCAUGAUGAUUUGACGUCAUCCCCACCUUCCUCCGGUUUGUCACCGGCAGUCUCACCAGAGUGCCCAACUUAAUGCUGGCAACUGAUAAUAAGGGUUGCGCUCGUUGCGGGACUUAACCCAACAUCUCACGACACGAGCUGACGACAACCAUGCACCACCUGUAUCCAUGUCCCCGAAGGGAACGUCUAAUCUCUUAGAUUUGCAUAGUAUGUCAAGACCUGGUAAGGUUCUUCGCGUAGCUUCGAAUUAAACCACAUGCUCCACCGCUUGUGCGGGCCCCCGUCAAUUCCUUUGAGUUUCAGCCUUGCGGCCGUACUCCCCAGGCGGAAUGCUUAAUGCGUUAGCUGCAGCACUGAAGGGCGGAAACCCUCCAACACUUAGCAUUCAUCGUUUACGGUAUGGACUACCAGGGUAUCUAAUCCUGUUUGCUACCCAUACUUUCGAGCCUCAGCGUCAGUUACAGACCAGACAGCCGCCUUCGCCACUGGUGUUCUUCCAUAUAUCUACGCAUUUCACCGCUACACAUGGAGUUCCACUGUCCUCUUCUGCACUCAAGUUUCCCAGUUUCCGAUGCACUUCUUCGGUUGAGCCGAAGGCUUUCACAUCAGACUUAAAAAACCGCCUGCGCUCGCUUUACGCCCAAUAAAUCCGGACAACGCUUGCCACCUACGUAUUACCGCGGCUGCUGGCACGUAGUUAGCCGUGGCUUUCUGGUUAAAUACCGUCAAUACCUGAACAGUUACUCUCAGAUAUGUUCUUCUUUAACAACAGAGUUUUACGAGCCGAAACCCUUCUUCACUCACGCGGCGUUGCUCCAUCAGACUUUCGUCCAUUGUGGAAGAUUCCCUACUGCUGCCUCCCGUAGGAGUUUGGGCCGUGUCUCAGUCCCAAUGUGGCCGAUUACCCUCUCAGGUCGGCUACGUAUCAUUGCCAUGGUGAGCCGUUACCUCACCAUCUAGCUAAUACGCCGCGGGACCAUCCAAAAGUGAUAGCCGAAGCCAUCUUUCAAACUCGGACCAUGCGGUCCAAGUUGUUAUGCGGUAUUAGCAUCUGUUUCCAGGUGUUAUCCCCCGCUUCUGGGCAGGUUUCCCACGUGUUACUCACCAGUUCGCCACUCACUCAAAUGUAAAUCAUGAUGCAAGCACCAAUCAAUACCAGAGUUCGUUCGACUUGCAUGUAUUAGGCACGCCGCCAGCGUUCGUCCUGAGCCAGGAUCAAACUCUCAAAUUAAUG